UCUUUCUUUCCAGAGAGGUGUAUGAGCAGAUGAACAGCCUUAUAAGAGCCAAUCUUCUAAAAUUCAGGGUUCCUCUCCUGUGGUGCACCUUACCGCAUAAGCAGUUUUGGUGCUGUGUUUCGGGCAGGAGCAGAAUCCUCACCUUUGGAACCCUGUUCACUCCACCCAGUGAAUAUUUCCAAAAUUCCCUGAAUGUUUCUGACACAAUUUGAUAAUCAGACAACAGAGUAUGCUGUUAAAGAUUAUGUGCAAAGAGAAGGCUACUGAAUUCAGGCUGCUGGAAGGACAGAAUGAAACAAUAAAACAGCAUAGCCUCUAAUACAUACACAGUAAAGUCAUCGUCGUCUGGUGAAAAGCUUGUUUUUGCCAAUUAAAGCAUUUAUUUUGAGUGAAAAAUAAAAAGGAAUAGAAUCUCUGAGCCAUUUUGUCAUCGUGUUCUGUUACUCUUUCUUGUGAGAGUAUUUUUUGGCCACCCGCACUUUUAAAUUUAAAGGCUGCACAUCAGAGAAUGGGCAGCAACCUUGCUUGAAGGAGCAGUCUUCUUUAUCAGCACACCCUGGCUCUCUUUUUGAUGAUGUCUGUAUACAAGUUGUAACUUUCUGUUCUUUUCU